rnacentral:rRNA from 1 species
UCCAGACUCCUACGGGAGGCAGCAGUGGGGGAUAUUGCACAAUGGGGGCAACCCUGAUGCAGCGACGCCGCGUGAGCGAUGGAGUACUUCGGUAUGUAAAGCUCUGUCAGCAGGGAAGAGAAUGACGGUACCUGACCAAGAAGCCCCGGCUAAAUACGUGCCAGCAGCCGCGGUAAUACGUAUGGGGCAAGCGUUAUCCGGAUUUACUGGGUGUAAAGGGAGCGUAGACGGCGAUGCAAGUCUGAAGUGAAAGGCGGGGGCCCAACCCCCGGACUGCUUUGGAAACUGUAUGGCUGGAGUGCAGGAGAGGUAAGUGGAAUUCCUAGUGUAGCGGUGAAAUGCGUAGAUAUUAGGAGGAACACCAGUGGCGAAGGCGGCUUACUGGACUGUAACUGACGUUGAGGCUCGAAAGCGUGGGGAGCAAACAGGAUUAGAUACCCUCGUAC